CGCACAUUGCGCCCCUUGGUAUUCCAUGGGGCAUGCCUGUUCGAGCGUCAUUUGUACUCUCAAGCUUUGCUUGGUGUUGGGUGUUUGUCCCGCUGCAUGCGUGGACUCGCCUCAAAACAAUUGGCAGCCGGCAUAUUGGUCCUGGAGCGCAGCACAUUUUGCACUUCCAGUCCUACAUGUUGGCACCCACAAGCCUAUUUUACACGCUUGACCUCGGAUCAGGUAGGGAUACCCGCUGAACUUAA
rnacentral:misc_RNA from 1 species